rnacentral:rRNA from 1 species
CGAACGGGUGAGUAAUACAUCGGAACGUACCCAGAAGUGGGGGAUAACGCAGCGAAAGUUGCGCUAAUACCGCAUACGUUCUACGGAAGAAAGUGGGGGAUCUUCGGACCUCAUGCUUUUGGAGCGGCCGAUGUCUGAUUAGCUAGUUGGUGGGGUAAAGGCACACCAAGGCGACGAUCAGUAGCUGGUCUGAGAGGACGACCAGCCACACUGGAACUGAGACACGGUCCAGACUCCUACGGGAGGCAGCAGUGGGGAAUUUUGGACAAUGGGCGCAAGCCUGAUCCAGCAAUGCCGCGUGAGUGAAGAAGGCCUUCGGGUUGUAAAGCUCUUUUGUCAGGGAAGAAACGGUUCCGGCUAAUAUCCGGGGCUAAUGACGGUACCUGAAGAAUAAGCACCGGCUAACUACGUGCCAGCAGCCGCGGUAAUACGUAGGGUGCAAGCGUUAAUCGGAAUUACUGGGCGUAAAGCGUGCGCAGGCGGUUUUGUAAGUCUGUCGUGAAAGCCCCGGGCUCAACCUGGGAAUUGCGAUGGAGACUGCAAGGCUUGAAUCUGGCAGAGGGGGGUAGAAUUCCACGUGUAGCAGUGAAAUGCGUAGAGAUGUGGAGGAACACCGAUGGCGAAGGCAGCCCCCUGGGUCAAGAUUGACGCUCAUGCACGAAAGCGUGGGGA